GGAUGGAUCAUUCUUGAAUACAACCCCAACCUUCGAACUUUCGGUUCUUACCUUUAAAUACUUCAAAACUACUUUUGAAAUUAAAAACUCUUAACGGUGGAUGACUCGACUCUUGUAACGAGGAAGGACGCAGCAAACCGCGAUAAGCAGUAUGACUUGCGAACACUCGUGAAUCACCAGAUUUCUGAACGCAUUUGUACUCCUAGCUUCGGCUUCGAGUAUACUUGGCUCGGUAUCAUUUAGAUUUGCUACAUUGCUUUCUUAAGUGCUCGCACUGAAAGACUGCUGUAGUGUUGUGAGUUAUCCUCAGCUUGCUGAGUGUUAACUGUCUACUGAUCUCUUCUGAUCCAUUCUGCUUCUACAGUAAAUUACUACGGUUAAAGCUUUCUGGAUUGUUAAAGAAGUAAUCAAUUCUAAAUCCUUUUGAUCCGAGCUCAAGUAAGGUUACCCGCUGAAUUUAAGCAUAUAAUUAAGCGGAGGAAUAGAAACCAACAGGGAUUCCCUUAAUAGCGGCGAGCGAAAAGGGAUGAGCCCGAGAUGUGAAUCGAAGUGGCUUGCUGCUUCGAGUUGUGCAUCGUGGUCUUUACCAGCAAGUUUGGACGUCUAAGGUGCCUGGAAAGGCACGCCACAGAAGGUGAUAGCCCUGUCUUUGGCGUCUAAAGCUUACGUACGGUACUGAUCAAUUGAGUCACGCUCUUUGGGAGUAGAGCGCAAACAGGGUGGUAACCUCCAUCCAUGGCUAAAUACUGACAAGAGAUCGAUAGCAAACAAGUACCCUGAGGGAAAGUUGAAAAGCACUUCGAAAGGAGAGUUAAAAGACCUGAAACCGUUAAGGGGGAAGCGAGUGGCCGUGACCCAAGUGGCUUUCUGGCUGUAUUCACAACAGAGACGUUACGCUCUUUGAUUAAACUCUUUGAGUGUGGCUGAUCGGUAGAGUAUAAGUCAGACUUUCACUAUUUGACAUCAACUCUAGUGCUCUGAAUUUCUUUGCACGUAGGGUUGAGGACCUCCAGCUUGCUGUAUGUUGUCAAACGUGGCACGUCUACACGACCCGUCUUGAAACACGGACCAAGGAGUUAAACUAAUGUGCGAGUGUAAGGGUGUUAAACCUCUACGCGCAGUGAAAGCGACAGCUGUGAAUACCAAUGCAACAGCGGCCGACUAUGAAGUUCGAGCUUGAGCAUAUUUGUUUAGACCCGAAAGAUGGUGACCUAUACCUGAGUUGAGUGAAGCCAGGGGAAACCCUGGUGGAAGCUCGUAGCGAUACUGACGUGCAAAUCGUUCGUCAAACUUGGGCAUAGGGGCGAAAGACUAAUCGAACCAUCUAGUAGCUGGUUCCCUC
rnacentral:misc_RNA from 1 species